UUGCUACAGCAGCACAUAUACUAAAAUUGGAAUAAUACAGAGAAGAUUAACAUGGCUCCUGCACAAAGAUGACACACCAAUCCGUGAAGCAUUCCAUAUCUUU
ensembl:snRNA LOC120101173 U6 spliceosomal RNA